rnacentral:rRNA from 1 species
GAUGAACGCUGGCGGCGUGCCUAAUACAUGCAAGUCGAGCGAACAGACGAGGAGCUUGCUCCUCUGACGUUAGCGGCGGACGGGUGAGUAACACGUGGAUAACCUACCUAUAAGACUGGGAUAACUUCGGGAAACCGGAGCUAAUACCGGAUAAUAUAUUGAACCGCAUGGUUCAAUAGUGAAAGACGGUUUUGCUGUCACUUAUAGAUGGAUCCGCGCCGCAUUAGCUAGUUGGUAAGGUAACGGCUUACCAAGGCGACGAUGCGUAGCCGACCUGAGAGGGUGAUCGGCCACACUGGAACUGAGACACGGUCCAGACUCCUACGGGAGGCAGCAGUAGGGAAUCUUCCGCAAUGGGCGAAAGCCUGACGGAGCAACGCCGCGUGAGUGAUGAAGGUCUUCGGAUCGUAAAACUCUGUUAUUAGGGAAGAACAAAUGUGUAAGUAACUAUGCACGUCUUGACGGUACCUAAUCAGAAAGCCAUGGCUAACUACGU